GUUGCUUUGGUCGAGUGGUUAAGGCGUGUGCCUGCUAAGUACAUGGAGUUUCCCCUCAAGAGUUCAAAUCUCUUAGACAACA